rnacentral:rRNA from 1 species
GACGAACGCUGGCGGCGUGCUUAACACAUGCAAGUCGAACGGAAAGGCCCCUUUGUGGGUACUCGGGUGGCGGACGGGUGCGUAACACGUAAGUAACCUGCCCUUGCCUUCAGGAUAACUUCAGGAAAGGGGGGCUAAUACCGGAAAGGAAUCCUUUCUUCAUGGGGGGGGUUGGAAAGCUUCGGGCGGUUUGGGUGGACUUGCGGGGUAUCAGCUUGUUGGGGGGGUAGUGGCUUACCAAAGCGUUGUCGGGUGGCCAGCCUGCGUAGGCGACCGGCCACCUUGGGACUGAGGUGAGGCCCAGACUCCGACGGGAGGCAGCAGGGGGGAAUAUUGAACAAGGGGCGGCAGGCUGAUGCAGCAACGCCGCGGGCGGGAUGACGGUCUUCGGGUUGUAAACCGCUUUCAGCAGGGGCGAAGCUUGUGGUGACGGUACCUGCAGAAGAAGCACCGGCUAACUACGUG